AGCGAACGCUGGCGGCAGGCCUAACACAUGCAAGUCGAACGGACCCUUCGGGGUUAGUGGCGGACGGGUGAGUAACACGUGGGAACGUGCCUUUAGGUUCGGAAUAGCUCCUGGAAACGGGUGGUAAUGCCGAAUGUGCCCUUCGGGGAAAGAUUUAUCGCCUUUAGAGCGGCCCGCGUCUGAUUAGCUAGUUGAUGAGGUAAUGGCUCACCAAGGCGACGAUCAGUAGCUGGUCUGAGAGGAUGACCAGCCACAUUGGGACUGAGACACGGCCCAAACUCCUACGGGAGGCAGCAGUGGGGAAUCUUGCGCAAUGGGCGAAAGCCUGACGCAGCCAUGCCGCGUGAAUGAUGAAGGUCUUAGGAUUGUAAAAUUCUUUCACCGGGGACGAUAAUGACGGUACCCGGAGAAGAAGCCCCGGCUAACUUCGUGCCAGCAGCCGCGGUAACAC
rnacentral:rRNA from 1 species